rnacentral:rRNA from 1 species
UACGUAGGGGGCAAGCGUUGUCCGGAUUUAUUGGGCGUAAAGAGCUCGUAGGCGGUGUGUCGCGUCGGCCGUGAAAACCUGCAGCUUAACUGUGGGCGUGCGGUCGAUACGGGCAUCACUGGAGUUCGGCAGGGGAGACUGGAAUUCCUGGUGUAGCGGUGAAAUGCGCAGAUAUCAGGGGGAACACCAGUGGCGAAGGCGACUCUCUGGACUGUAACUGACGCUGAGGCUCGAAAGCGUGGGGAGCAAACAGG